AUAUCGGUAUUAUUCAUCCAAACCCGAAACGGAAGGAAAAACGUAGCCGCGUAUAGUGAAAUCGAAAAUUGUAUUUAAUUCCGGGACGAAAAUAUUGGAAUCGAAUAUUCUGUCACAAAAUUAUUUGAACACGAGUAUUCGAGCACUUAACAAGACGACGCAGUAUAAUAGUAAACACGUUUAUAAUGUUACGCGUAAAAAUGGAAAUAUUCCUUUAGUGGUUUAUGAAUAAUUACGUCGUGCCACGGCGCGUGUCUUUUAUAUUAAUUAUU